rnacentral:rRNA from 1 species
AUGUUGACUUGUGUUCUAGGUGGUUUGCAAACAUGUGUCAUAGGAAUAUUUUUAAGGAGGGACAAACUUGCUUGGCAAGUAGGAUGGAACAUUCAACUAUUAACAAUUGUCUACUCGGCUGCACUUGGCACAGCCGCCAAUUAUUGGUUGAAUCUAUACGCCGUGGAAAAGCGCGGCCCUGUUUUUCCACCAAUGUUCAACACAUUAUCGAUUGUCUUCACCAUGGUUCUUGGGGCAUUAUUACUAGGAGAAAGCAUCACGGUUGGGAGCUUGUUAGGUAGCACAUUGGUUUUCAGUGGUUUGUAUAUGUACCUAUAUGGAAAGGCCAGAGAACUCCGUGCAGAGACGACAUGA